CCCAGAGUUCUGGUAAGGUAGAGAGAAUGAAUAGAACUAUUAAGAAUCAGUUGGCUAAAAUGUGUCAGGAAACCCAACUUAAGUGGAACGUUCUCUUGCCCAUAGCUCUAUUGCGAAUCCAUAGUACACCUACCAGAAGGAUGGGCCUCUCUCCUUUUGAAAUCAUGUACGGGCGACCACCUCCCGUGCUUGGUGACUUAAGGGGGGAUUUGAGUCAGUUGGGAGAAGGAAUUACCCGGCAGCAGGUUGUAGAGUUGGGUAAGACUAUGGAGGAGGUACAGAAAUGGGUACAAGAUAGA